AACGAACGCUGGCGGCAUGCCUAACACAUGCAAGUCGAACGAGAUCUUCGGGUCUAGUGGCGCACGGGUGCGUAACGCGUGGGAAUCUGCCCUUUGGUUCGGAAUAACAGUUGGAAACGACUGCUAAUACCGGAUGAUGACGAAAGUCAAAAGAUUUAUCGCAAGAGGAUGAGCCCGCGUAGGAUUAGCUAGUUGGUGUGGUAAAGGCGCACCAAGGCGACGAUCCUUAGCUGGUCUGAGAGGAUGAUCAGCCACACUGGGACUGAGACACGGCCCAGACUCCUACGGGAGGCAGCAGUGGGGAAUAUUGGACAAUGGGCGAAAGCCUGAUCCAGCAAUGCUGCGUGAGUGAUGAAGGCCUUAGGGUUGUAAAGCUCUUUUACCCGGGAUGAUAAUGACAGUACCGGGAGAAUAAGCUCCGGCUAACUCCGUGCCAGCCGCCGCAGUAA
rnacentral:rRNA from 1 species